AAACUACGCUGUUGUACCCUACUAAAAACCUAUUUUGCUUCUCCUAAACCACAUCGCCGAAAUCCUUAUUAAUUUUAUCCCCAAAUUUUACCCAUUGAAACGUCUAAAAUUUCCCUCUAAAAUUUCCCCCUAAAAUCGGUAUCCCCAAAACAUAUCUAAUUUUUCCCCCAAAUCGAAAUCCCCAAAUCAAAAUCCUUCCACCAUUUCUGUGUUGCCAUACUGAUCCCUAAUCCUCAGCAUCUCUCUCACUGCAUUUCUUGCUUCUCUAAAUCUCCAUCUCUAAAUCUCCUUCUCUAAAUCUCCAUCCCUUUGAUUUUCGCUGAAAUCUAUGAUUCACAUGAGAGCUAUGGCGAGUGAGCAAGGCAUGAGUAGUUGGACCGAUCUUCUCCACUCAUCCACCAAGCUUCUUGAGCAAGCUGCUCCUUCUGCUCAGUUUCCUCCUCUUCAGAGAAACUUAGAUCAGUUAGAAGCACUAUCGAAGAAGCUCAAGGCAAAAACCUUAAGAACUGAGGCUCCUUCUCAAUCCAUUGCUGCCACAAGGCUACUUGCACGGGAGGGAAUUAACGCUGAACAGCUUACACACGAUCUGAAGUCUUUUGAAUUGAAGAUAAGUAUUAUUUUCCACAUUUUCAUUUAUGUUAGCUCAGCUUUUGUGGCUUCUAGCUCAAGAACCCCCUAAACCUACCAUAAAAUUUGUUACUUGUUUUUCUUUGGCAUAUAAGGCUAUUUAAUAGAUAUUUUGAGGGGAAUGGAUAUUGAUAACGAUAUGUCAAGAUAAGGACAUUUUCCCCCUUCCCCUAAACUUUAUCUGCUAUGAUUAAAUGAUAUUUGUUUUCAGCUUUUGUAUUUUUACUGUUUAAAUGUUACUUUUGUCCUAAAACGCAUGUGUAUGGUCAACUUUAGAGAGCUUUGCUAUUGAUUGCUUCACAGUCUUGCUUCAAGGUCCCCCUCCCCCUUUUCAUAGUUUUCUCUUUACUGCAAUCUCACAAACCAUGUUUUCCUCUCCUUGAUCAUCUUUCUGCAAGACAACAUUUGAGGAUGUUUUCCCUGCUGAAGCAACAAGCAUUGAGGAGUAUCUGCAGCAGGAAGAUUGGCAAAAGGAAAAACGGGUCUUCUUAUAGAGUUUGAGCAGAAUUUCAACAUUACCUAAGACAAACAUGAUUGAUAAAAGCAGUGGUGGUAUUCGUUCAGGUCAAAUGGUUCCCAUGGCUUCUAGUUCUCAUGUUUCUUCUGGUCCUUCUGCCAGUGGGCUUCUACCUUUAGCUGACAAGCCAGUUGUUGAGAAAAAAGUGACGGUAUAUGCGGAAGUUGUUAGAAAUCUGAACAAUGCAAGACAACAAGGCUUGCCAUUUAAAGCCUGUGCCAUCAGCGCUUGUGGUAAUAAGUCAAGGUAGUUAUGUGGACGACAUUCCCUUUGAUUCUUUGGCAUUUUCUUCCAUUUUUGUUACUUUGAAUUUGGUAUGAGCUUUUUGUUUUUCUUUCUUUCCAUCAAUGUAAAUGUGCUUAAAAUUUAUCUAAAAAUUCUCAUCAACAUAAAUUUUCAUAAAUUGUAUUAUCUCUCUGUUGCUGGUAGAUUGCCCAUUUAUUUAAACAUAAUAUUUAAAUUCUAAA